GGUUCUACACUUCUAUGAUUCU
rnacentral:miRNA from 1 species